CACUGGACCACGACUCCACGGAGGGGUGCUUCACCACCUCCCGCAGAACACCUUUGUCUCCUCCCCCGAUGAUCAGCACCUUUUGCCGGUUGGGGUGGCUGCAGAGAGGCAGGUUGGUUUUUUUUUUUUUUUUCCAGCAAGAACUAUAAUUUAAUCACAUAACACUAUGUAACAUUCUAUAUUUUUGCCUGUUGAUAUGUAACAUAGUUAAGUUUAUUACAAACAUUAUUUCUUAAGACUUAUUGUAUAAGUGCUCCUUUUCAAGUAUUACCACUUAAUAGUGUUUAUCUACAAUGUAACAUUAGGUAAAUCAGUGAUAAAUGUAUAUAAUGCAAUACACUGUGCCACUUCUCCCUACCGCGUGUUAAGGUAUAUAUACAUUAACAAAAUCAAGGAAAACAAACAAGACAACUAUUAUAACUGAAACAAGACGAUGAACAUCACAGAUGCAUGUCUGAGUAGAUAAACAGCAUUUCCCCUUAACAUGAAGGUCAUUUUGUCAAAGAGAUUCCUAUACCUUUAGGCUAGCAUUGUUUUUAGCAGCAGCCAGUGCAUGAGGGAGCUAGGGGGUCGGUGUGCAGGGGCCGGGGAGCUGGGCGUCGCCCCAUCUCGGUGGGGCGUGCCGGGUCCCCAAGCCCAUUCCUGUCCCACCCUGGCCGUUCCCUGCCCGACCCGGAAGCGCGCAGCCAGAUGCUGCGGCAGGGCCCGCGAGAGGCUGCGGUGGACAGGCCCGGGGCGCCCAGGGUCGUGCAGCGGGCCAGCGAGGGCCGUCACCUUCCCGCGGCGGAGGGGCCUGGGGACCAAGAACUCCACUCAAACUUCAGGCGCAGGGUGAAGGCUGGCAGCGACCGAGUCACCCUUUCCCGCAGCGUUCCCAGCAGUUCCGGUGGCGGAAAAUGGCCCAGGCUUGGUUUUCGAGCCCAGUAAAACAGAAGGGCCAGUCCUCCGAGGGCCUCGGCUUGCUCUGCGGGGCCGCGAGACCUGCAGCGGCUCCUGGCCGCCCCCACGCCCUGCGCCAUGAAGCCUGGCAGGGAGGGGAUGGCGCCCGACUCACGCCCUGGUCCCGCGCGGGGACCGAACGGCCCGGAUCCCGUCAGCCAGGACGCAAAAGGGCAGGUCGCCGGUGAGCGCCAUCUGCUCGGGGCAGGUCCCCACUGGCCACACGACGCUGCUGCAGCAUUCGAGGCCGGCAGGGACGCCGUCCCCCGUCCCACACACCUGAGUCAGUUUACCCCCGAGCCGAAUCUGAGCCCCUGGCAAGAACCGUGGCUAGGUGCACAGAGCUUAGCCGGGAAGGUGGGGGAGCUGUGGCCUCCGUCCCGCCGGGACUGCGGGUGGGGGGAAGAGACCCUGGCAUUCCCCGCAGAUCCUGUAAUGCCCCCCAUGUCCCCUUCCACCAAACAGGUGUAACCCCCACCCGCCUUCUCCAAAAGCCCAUGGCAGAGAUGAGGGGCACAGAGGGACCCGAAGCCUUGACCGCGCAAACCCGGCGGGAAAAUGAAGCCCAGUAGGACCGCGAGGCCGCUAUCAGGAAGCCCGGCUCCUGGGACCCAGCUCUGGGCCCUCCCAGCCUCGAGGUCCUCGCCCUAUGGAGGCACGAGGAGAGGACCCGGGCUCCCCCAGCCGGCCGACGCCGCCCGCCCUCCUGUUCCUCAGGGCGCUGACACCCUCCCUCCCCAAAAAGAAAAAAAAAGAAAAAAAAAAAAGGUCAUGUGGAAGAUGGCGGCAUCCAGGGGAGGCUGCGGGCUCUGAGCGGGCGGUGAGAGGUUUCGGUACAGCCGAACCUGCGGCUUUGGAGGUCCCUUCACUCAGUUUCCUGCUCCAGGUUUCGCACUGCGCAUCCUCCCAGACCCUUGGGCGCGAUGUGGAGGAGCUGCCACCGGCUGUGGGACGGGGGACGUCGCCUCCUGAAUCGGCCUGCGGGUGGCCCCAGAGCUUCUAAGAGUCCGAGGCCAACCAUCCCGUCUCCAGCCCGAGCUUAACGCCCCGCCGACAGAAAGGAAGAGGUUUUAUCAGAAUGUCAGCAUCACACAGGGUGAAGGUGGCUCUGAGAUAAACCUGGACCACAGGAAGCUGAAAACUCCCCAAGCCAAGCUCUUUACCGUGCCCAGCGAGGCCCUGGCCAUCGCAGUGGCCACUGAAUGGGAUUCCCAGCAGGAUACCAUCAAGUACUACACCAUGCACCUGACCACAUUGUGCAACACAUCCUUGGACAACCCAACCCAGAGAAAUAAGGAUCAGCUGAUCCGGGCAGCCGUGAAGUUUCUGGACACCAACACCGUCUGCUACAGGGUGAAGGAGCCAGAGACAUUAGUGGAACUUCAAAGGAAUGAGUGGGAGCCAACCAUCGAAUGGACUGAGAAAAGAUAUGGCGUGAAGAUCAGCUUCUCCACCAGCAUAAUGGGACCCAGCAUCCCUGCCAAGACUCGGGAGGUGCUUGUCAGCCACCUGGCGUCUUACAACACGUGGGCUCUGCAAGGCAUUAAGUUUGUGGCUGCCCAGCUUAAGUCCAUGGUGCUGACCUUGGACCUGAUUGAUCUGCACCUGAAGGUGGAGCAGGUCGUGCUGCUGUCAUGCCUGGAGGAGUAUCAGAUCCAGUGGGGCAAUAUUGAGUGGGCCCAUGACUACGAGCUGCAGGAGCUGUGAGCCCGCCCUGCUGCCGGCACCCUCUUUGUCCAUCUCUGCUCCAAGAGCAGCACAGCCAAGCACAAGCUCCUGAAGGAGUGAGGCCUGGGCAGCGCACACCCAGCAGGGUGGUGGCAGUACAGCCACAGCUCCCCUGGCCUUUGGGGCUCCCCAGCCUGUGGGGCUGGCUCCCUUGGCCUUUGGGGCUCGGCCUCAGAGUCACCCUGAGAUUCCCCCGAGACACAGUGCACUAGUGCAGCUGUCCAGAGGUCAGCCUGAUUUCAACCCAGGUGCCCCUGGUCUGGCCAGCAAUAAACGUGGGAGACAGAUUAUACAAGUGACUUUCUCUUGACACUGAUUUUAUUCAAUAUUUCUCCACCCUGG